AUUGAACGCUGGCGGCAGGCUUAACACAUGCAAGUCGAGCGGAGAGAGGUAGCUUGCUACUGAUCUUAGCGGCGGACGGGUGAGUAAUGCUUAGGAAUCUGCCUAUUAGUGGGGGACAACAUUUCGAAAGGAAUGCUAAUACCGCAUACGUCCUACGGGAGAAAGCAGGGGAUCUUCGGACCUUGCGCUAAUAGAUGAGCCUAAGUCGGAUUAGCUAGUUGGUGGGGUAAAGGCCUACCAAGGGGACGAUCUGUAGCGGGUCUGAGAGGAUGAUCCGCCACACUGGGACUGAGACACGGCCCAGACUCCUACGGGAGUCAGCAGUGGGGAAUAUUGGACAAUGGGCGGAAGCCUGAUCCAGCCAUGCCGCGUGUGUGAAGAAGGCCUUAUGGUUGUAAAGCACUAUAAGCGAGGAGGAGGCUACUUUAGUUAAUACCUAGAGAUAGUGGACGUUACUCGCAGAAUAAGCACCGGCUAACUCUGUGCCAGCCGCCGCAGUAAUAC
rnacentral:rRNA from 1 species